ACCAGACUCCUACGGGAGGCAGCAGUGGGGGAUAUUGCACAAUGGGGGGAACCCUGAUGCAGCGACGCCGCGUGGGUGAAGGAGCGUUUCGGCGCGUAAAGCCCUAUCGGCAGGGAAGAAACAGACGGUACCUGGCUAAGAAGCCCCGGCUAACUACGUGCCAGCAGCCGCGGUAAUACGUAGGGGGCAAGCGUUAUCCGGAUUCACUGGGUGUAAAGGGAGCGUAGACGGCGACGCAAGUCUGGAGUGAAAGCCCGGGGCCCAACCCCGGGACUGCUCUUGGAACUGCGCGGCUGGAGUGCAGGAGGGGCAGGCGGAAUUCCUGGUGUAGCGGUGAAAUGCGUAGAUAUCAGGAGGAACACCGGUGGCGAAGGCGGCCUGCUGGACUGCGACUGACGUUGAGGCCCGAAAGCGUGGGGAGCAAACAGGAUUAGAUACCCCGGUAA
rnacentral:rRNA from 1 species